rnacentral:rRNA from 1 species
AUACGUAGGUCCCGAGCGUUGCGCGGAGUCACUGGGCGUAAAGCGUCCGCAGCCGGUCGGGUAAGCGGGAUGUCAAAGCCCGCCGCUUAACGGCGGAACGGCAUCCUGAACUGCCCGACUUGAGGCACGCCCGGGCAGGCGGAAUUCCCGGGGUAGCGGUGAAUUGCGUAGAUCUCGGGAGGAACACCGAAGGGGAAGCCAGCCUGCUGGGGCUGGCCUGACGGUCAGGGACGAAAGCCAGGGGAGCGAACCGGAGUAGAAACCCUAGUAGUCC